UCCUGGUUAGCUAAGUUGGUAGAGCACUACACUGAAACUGAACAGGUCAUUGGUUCGAUACCAGGACCAGGGG
rnacentral:tRNA from 1 species